AUCAUGCGUUGCCCACUCCCAUCGAUCCCAUCUAUCGUUUCCGCCGCCGCCGCCGCAAAUAAACUCCAUCGAUAACCAUCCUUGCUUGCCCACUCCCAUCGAUCGUUGCCACCGCUGCCACCGCCGUCCGAGGGGGAGACGUCGCCGCCGCCGCUGCAAGGUAUGGCGGUUUGAAUCCCGCCCCGCCUCUGCAAGGCAGGGCGGUUUCAAUCCCACCGCCGCCGAACUCCGGGAAUCGCCGCCGCCAAGUCUCCAGGGCAGGGCGGUUUCAAACCCUGCCGACGAACUCCGGGAUACGCAUAAUCGUCGCUGCCGCCCCCUCCCCCGGCUGCCCCAUGGUCUUCUAUCUCUCCCAACUCCCCUGUCGCGCCCCGUCUUCCAUCUCUGCAUGAAUUGCUGUUGUGGCAGCCACUCCCCAUGGCGGCCAUCCGGGCACACCGUGUCCGGGAUGAUGGAGGUGAUGUCCGCCAGUUCCCUGUUUCCGUUGGCAUCUUCUGCGAUGGGACCCGUGGGGGCAGGUCGCGCGCUGCUCAUCUGUGUCGAUGGCGUCGGCGUCGUCCUUCCCCUGCAAAGCAUGGCGGCUCCUUGGCUGGAUCACAGUGAUGAUACAGUUGGCUCGGCGGCGACUAGAGAUCUCGCAGGCUGGCGUUUAUUUGAUGUCUGGGUGUUCCAAUCGUGAAGGAACAGACGUAUAAUGUACGGUAUAAGAAUUUGGACGAGGCUCAUCUGCGUGGAUGGUUGUGGCUUGGCCGCCGGGCACACAAUCCAUUGAUUCACACAUAAGACCGUAGCCAUCUACACCAAGACUCCUCUGCCCUACGGAGUCUUGCAAGCGAUCGUCGUAAGAAAUAUUCCGUGUGAUGCCGGCAUGUGUUGUUGUUGCAUUGUCGCAACCAUCCAUCUACACACCAAAUGUCAAAACCGAGUCGCGGUGUUCACAAUGCUGGGCAUUAUUUAUAUCGAAAGACGAGGAGGAAGAUUUGGAUGACCGUAACCACAAUGGCAAGGGCAGCAACAUGGUCGUCACCUACAAUGCCGAUGGGUGCUGACAUUAUGAUGUUUGGUUUAUUUGUUGAAAGUUACAGCCCAUGUUUCAUGAUUUAUUUGCCACCGGUUAAUCAUGAUAUUUUGAAGUGCUCUGACAAUUGCUUGCUGUCUGCAUCUCUUACUUUUCAACUUGCUGCAUAUACAGAUAUACAGCAUUAGAAUCUGUUUGUACAAUAUAUUUACUUAUUCAACAUGCUUCAGUUAUGCUUCUUUGAAAAUCCAGUUGUAGAUUGCAGUGAAGCCCCAUUUAGAUCUUGGCUAUAGUAUUAUUCUUGUCUUAUGACUCGUGACAGAUUGAUAUGUGAUACCAUGACAUAGCAUAUGUGCUACCGUGGUAGUCACAUUUGGUGGUAGUUCUGAUUGUUUGCUAGAUUACGAGAUAAGACCAAGUGCUUCUGCAACUCGGUUGCGGUUUUGAUAGGAACAUGAAGACUUGUGAUGCCAUGGAGCAUGUUUGAUUAAAAGGAGUAAGUCAACAUACAACUUGUUUCUUAUGUUUUAUUUAGAGAAAAUGAUUGUUCCUUGUGAGUCAUUUUCUUCUACAAAUGCACCAUAGUUGCUCCAAUAUAUUGAGCAGGGACGAAGUUUGUUACAAGUGUUUUAUAGAGUUGACGCCAGAGACAUCCGACGGGAUACAUUGGUGAAGGAAUCGAUGAAGAAGCUUCCGUUCAGCAUGGUAUCUCAAUGGAAGAAUAUCCGAAGCAAACCUCCGCUACUUCUCUGUUCCCUUUCAUUUGUCGUGGGAAGACCUUAGGAAGGUAGGAAGACCUUAGGAAGAGUGGGUGGGAGGAAGAGAGGCCUGUGCUAUAGAUGUAGGCGAACAAUGGUCCUUGGAAAUUAUUAGUACUCUACAAAAUGUCUGUCCCCUAUGAUGCCUACAAUGAGCGAGAGAGGGUGGAAGGAAGGGAGAGCGGAGGAAGGAAGAUGGGGAUAUAUGUAGAGAGGGAGAUAGGAGGAAGGGAGAUUGGCAUAUAUGUAGAGAGAGGAAGAUCAGAUAGGGAGGGGAGAUUUACAGGACGAUUGUCGUUGAGCCACUCAAAUAUGUAUGUCUCUAUUGCAUCGCACGGGCAAUUAACUAUAGAAAAAUUCAAGGCUAUUUUUUAAAGUGACAUUUAUUCAGCAUGUUCCAACCUUUACAUGCCUUAAUUAUAGAAUAAUCUAAUAUUAUGAUUUCUCCAAUAAGCAGUAUACAAUAUACUUAACUGGGACUUUGAAUUUUUGCUUUAGGAAAAUUUGAAUAGACCUCGUCCAUGCCGAUAAUUUCCUCGUACAUCAGGUUGAACGAUUUUGUUUAUGUUGUGAGUGGUCAAUAUUCCUUACCGCUGGCCACAUAUCUCACUUGUGCUGGACCCCUAGAAUAUGCUAAUGUUUAGUUUCCAAUUUUCCAACUGUCAAAUAUCAGUGGACUUUACAUGGUUUCUUUCAAAAAAAAGACUCAUAUGGCCCGAGUUUGUUUGCUCAGGAGCAUUCUUUCAUAGAUUAUAAUAGUCAGUGGCUUAAAAGUAUUGUCAUUGCUACAAACAUAAAACUGAUGAAAGAAGAACAUAUUUGUACCUUAUUGGCGGCUGACUAUACACACAAGAACCUCGACACUCUCAUUACUGUGUUAUAUAUUUAGUUGCAAUAGUAUUUGAUUUUUCAUGAAGCAAUAUGCUUACUGUUUCUUCAUUUAGUUUCGUGUUUCAAUGACGCGUGGAGGACGACGGUCACGAGCGCAUUGUCGCAAGCUCACAUGAGGGAGGCACACAUCUCAUCCAAUAUAAAAGCAUGCUCCGAAGAAUCCCUAACCUCCAUGGAGCCAUUGCUAGGGGGCGACGAGAUCAACGCCACCCAUCACGACCACCGAGAUGUAGAAGGGACUCGACAUUGUGGUCGGCGGUGCGUGGUGCAGUGCGGUGAUUUCUUGCCUGGCGUAUAACAAUGUGUGUUCAAUGGGUCGCCUCUUCUCACGCACAAGUCUCAGAGGGAGACAACGGCAGCUAUUCAGAAUAACCACAACAAAUUUGUGACACAGGUGGUUAGUGGGAGAAGGAACCUGAUACCGCAGCCGAUUCUGCAGCAAGGGUGGUGCGUAGAAGAUAGUUGUAGCAAGCAUAUAUAUAAGUCACUCUGGAAAAAGUGUGUAGUUAUUGUUGUAAUAGAGAUCCAUUCCUAUAUUUUCACUGAUAUGCAUGGUUGAAUAGUACUAUGUGUGAUAUGUGAGAGUAAUGUAAUACAAAAUGGAACAUGGUGGACAGGGCUUCGUGACUGAGCUGGCGAAUAAAAUGUCAGUGGUGGAAACGGACAUGUUAUAGAAGAUGUUGAGGGUGGCACCGGAGUUAAUGGCCAAAUGGGGUUCCUCGGCACCGAAAAGAAGGAUGCUGCAGCGACACGUACUGGGUUCCAUUUCCAACCAGAGAAGAACUUAUGAAUGGUACGUGCGUGAUCCAUUCAUUCUUUUGUUUGAUCCUUAUUCCCCUCAACUCAGAUUCAUUUUAAUUUGUACUUAUGCAUGAUUUUGAUGGAUCAAUGAAUUUAGUGGCAUUAAUUGCAAUGUGAAAUAUCAUAUAUCCAUAAACUUCACAUUGUUGUUGCUACGAGUCUGCUGGUCAGCUACUUCCAGUUAUCCUCAUCGAGAGUUGGUUGUCGGAUUUCACCAAGAAAUAAAAACAGAGGAAAACCCGCCGGUCUUACUACCGAUAGCAUCAAACAAGAAUAUGGGCACUAGAAAGGAGACGAUCCUAUCCACUAUCACAAUGAAACAAGAGAAACAAUUCCUUGCAGUCAUCUAUAAGGUCAGCAUGUUGGGGCUUGGUUGACUCAUUUAUAUUGCUAUUUCUAUCCACACGUAAAAGGAUCUACGUAUCCACAAUUAAUUUGCUUACCCAUGUGAGUUUGGGGAUAUUUUUUCUCUUGUUAGGAUGCAUGUCAGAUUUAAAUUCUCUUAUAUCUAUGUAUGUAGUGUAAUUUUUAUUUUGUAAAAACCUACUACCAGUCCACGCAUGAAGGUGCACUUAAUUUCUUAGUAUUUCUACGUGCAUUAUCUCUCUUUAAUUUACUUAGUAAUAGUAUUUUGUUAUUUGGGUCUGAAGAUACCAAUAUUGCAAAAAGUAAAUAAUUUGGGAGGAAAGUGAUUUGAACUUUAUACUGUUAAGGACAGUAAACCAAAUUGAUUUGUAUAGAGGCGUGAAUAAUCAAACCGAAAAAGGGGAGUUGAUUAGUAAGAGACAUCUAGGAUGUUUCAAAUUCUGCCGAAAAGCUCAAUAUAAAUAUGUCUAGAUGUGUUAAAAUUUGUUAACUGAAUUUCUGGUAAUAUAAUUAGUACUACUCCCUCUGUUUCUAAAUAUAAGUCUUUUUUAGAUAUUCCACUGCGGACUACAUACGAAGCAAAAUGAGUGAAUCUACACUCUAAAAUAUGUCUAUAUACAUUCGUAUGUAGUUUGUAUUGAAAUCCAUAGAAAGACUUAUAUUUAGAACGGAGGGAGUAUAUGUUUUGGUGGAUAAAAAUUCUUUUAAAUACACUAUAUAUACUGUGUACUAAAUGGUGGAAUCGUUGGCCGCCUGCCAGCCUCGACUGACAUAGAGAGGGAGAACACCCUAGAUCGGAUGCUCGCGCAUUUGCGCCUCACCAAGGUUCACUGCCUCGCAUGCUUCCUAGGCCGAACUGAGAUGCCGUCUCGAGCCACUGCAUUCUCGAAAAAAAUCUCAGAUGCCAUUGUUCCAUUGACCUGAUUCUGAUUGUUUUGUAGACUAAAAUCGUGUUUUGAAAUUAUAUUCAUCAAUUGAGAGACACUUUCCAAUGUGCUAAGAUGUGCAGCUCAACAUCAUAGGAUUGUCACAUCUUGAAUUCUGGUUCUUAGAGCUUUGGUUUUUAAGUUCUAACCCUUAUUUGCUUGUCUUGUCUUUUGUUUUACGGGUUUCAAGCUUCAGCACAAAUCUUCUGUAGGAAAUCUUGUACUCAUAGUGUAGAAAAAUGCCGUUUUUGUGAAAUGUCACAGGAGCUAGAUUACUAACAUUGUUGUAAUGUUUGUAUGGUAGCCUAUUCUUUAAUCCGUUCAAUUACAGAGUUUAUGAUUAUGUAAAUGGAGUAUGGGAUCUGAGAAGAAGAAAAAGGUAAUAGUACUUUCGUUCACAGGCAGAUUCGACAUAUCCUCGUUUACUUCCCCCGUGUCUUCUGACUGACUCCUUAAAUCAUCAACAUGUGUGUAUAUAUAGUUGCAUCCGAUUCAAGGAAGAUAAUGGACAAGUGCAUUGGUAUGAACAGGUCGUCGACUUUGACAGAAAAUGCAUACAGAUUAUCAGUUUUCCUGCUGAGUUGUACUAUUAUGCUACAGAAUACACAUCAGCUAUUAUGCUACAGAAUACGCAUAAUUAGUUACAGAUCAGUAGGCUACUCAUCUGGUUAGUUUUCUCAAGUCAUUUCUUCUGUGUGUAUAUAUGUUAUUUUCCUUUUUACACUAACAAGAGUUUCGUGCUUUCUGGUAUGGUGUGGUGCUCCCCCUUCAUUUAGUGAGUUCUUCCUUAAUGGAGGAUAUGGUAUAGGUAAUAGUGAGUGAUGUUCUAGCUUAUGCACUAUUUCCCCCUGGCCCGAGUUCCACACCAUAACAUGCUGCCGCCCCGGCUGCCGCGUCUGCCACGGCGCCGACGCCUCCCUGGCUCGCGGGACAUCCCCUCUAUAUAUUGUAACAGACUCGCAUGAAUACAAUUGAGUUGCAUCCUAUAAUCUUCUACAUGCGUCAUCUGGUUUUAAUGGACAUGUUCCAGCAAAAAAUGUCACGCUAUAGGGAAAGCGAGUGGGAAGGGUGUGUUGUAGGGUGGAAUUCUUGUGUUGGAACAACGUGUUGGAGAUAACAUGGUGAAUAGUCCGUACAACUACAUUUCUUCCCCACAAAUGAGUUGGAUUUGGGGGAGCCCAGACGGUUGAAUUUGGGGAGUCUGCUGGGCACCCAUUUGAACACGGCCGAACGUAUGAGGGAGAAAUGAGCUUCGACUUGUUUAACAUUGUACAAAAAAUAUUUGCUGCUAAUAAUGAGACAAGUUCUGAUUUGUAAAUGCAAUAUUCUUCCAUG